CCUACCCCUAAAGGCAUUGCAGGUGUGACUGCUAUGUUACAUGUGCAUCAGCAGGUGGCAGAGAGGAGAGAGGCUGUGUCUACACUCAGUGUUCUGACCUGUGAACAUCUGACUGACUAAGUACCCUAAUAUU